AACCUCCAACUUCUCUCCUUCCUUUCCCCCAUAGCUACGGCCCAAGCACCCCCCUCACACACCUCCAUUUUCAACCCUUCACUAUCCAUUCUAAGAAGAUCCUAAGGCGUAAGAGGCAUAAUUAGGAAGCUUGGAAGCAACAGAGCUUGAAGGACCUUGUUCAUUUGCUUUUAACCACCCAAUCUUCAUCCUUGUUCUUCCCUAGCUUCAAGCUAGUAGUAAGCAUCAUGAACACCCUUAUUUACUUCUAUUUUUAGUGGUUAAAAGACUUUUUAUGAUGAAAAUCUUAUGAACACUAAAGAACAUGAACUUGAAACUUAAACAUAAACAUAAACUUUACAUAAGAUGAUACAUGGAUGAAAUGAUGUUGUUUAGUAUGAGGUUUAAACACUGAAUCUAGCAAGUAGGAGGAUGAUUAUGGGACAAACUAGAAUAAUCAUCUUCUUGUCUAGUCAUGAACUUGAUAAAUAAAUGAUUUCUUGAAAAACAAUAAACAAAGUAAGCUAGUAAAUUUAUAGAUCUAAGAUGCAUGAGUAGUUUUUCAAAAGAACCAAGCUAAAAAUACAAGUUUUACCAAAUCUUGGUUCUUAGACAAAUAAACCUUAUUUUUGGUGGUUAAUAAAGUAAAGAUACACAUGUGUAACAAGAAAAUACAAGAAGUAGUAUUUUUAGAAAAUAUGGUCACAAGUUGUAAAGAACUAAAUUCUUUAAAAAUGAAGCUUUUAAAGAAACAAACACACUUUAAAGAGUAACAAGACUUACUAAAUACCCUAGUAAGUUACUACACAUUUUUGUAAAUUCUCAAGUUCAUGAAAUAGAGAAAUUAGUGCAUGUUGUUGAUAAUUGUGUUGAAAUUUAUUGUUGAUGAUUUAAAAGAAAAUAAAAACAUGUUUUGAAAACAUGGGAAACCUCCAUUUUUUAGGGGAAACUCUGUCAAAAUUUUUAUAAAUUUUGACACUUAGAAAAAUAUAUAAGUUUUGAGAAACUUAUUCCCUAAAAAUGUAUACCAAGGUAUUUACCAAGGUUUCUCUAAUUUUUGAGUUAAGAAACGAUGAUUUCGUCAAGGUUAAAAAUUGACAUUAAGUAUGUAUAUUUUUGAGGAAAAUAUAUAUAUAUUAUUUUAUCACCAAACUUUGUGCUAAGUGUAUGUAGUAUGUAUUAUACGUGCUAGUGUAUUAGGACUUGAAAAUACACUAAAUACUCUUGAGAAGUAAAAACACAAAAAUACACAUACAACAUACUUAGACAAAUACAAGAAAAUAUAUUUGUGAAAAUAUAUUAGUUGAUAGAAUAAAUAACUUGGACCAGUUAUGGACAUAAAAUGAAGUUUUGAACAAAGAUACAGGUGCCUUCGCUUCUACGCGAACCAGACAAACCCCGAGAGGGCAGGCUGAGAAGAGGAGCUGCCUUCGCUUCUAGGCGAACCAGACAAUUGAUGAUAUGCGUCAGAUGGUCCUUGGUCGCUCAUACUGUAAACUAACAGAUAGUCAGAUAACACAUAACAAGAAAAUGC
rnacentral:lncRNA from 1 species